rnacentral:ribozyme from 16 species
UUUUUCUUUCCAUUUUCCUCUCUUCUCUUCUUUUCCCCCUCUUUCCUCCUUCUUUUUCUCUCUUUUGGUUAAAAAAACAGCUAAGG